rnacentral:misc_RNA from 1 species
UCCUAGUUGACCUAGGCAGUCUCAUUAAAGUUCCCACCAUUACGUGCUGGCAAAUAAUGACAAGGGUUGCGCUCGUUGCGGGACUUAACCCAACACCUCACGGCACGAGCUGACGACAGCCAUGCAGCACCUGUUCACGAGUCCCGAAGGAAGACACUAUUUCUAAUGCUGUCUCGUGUAUGUCAAGCCUGGGUAAGGUUCUUCGCGUUGCAUCGAAUUAAACCACAUGCUCCACUGCUUGUGCGGGUCCCCGUCAAUUCUUUUGAGUUUCAGCCUUGCGACUGUACUCCCCAGGCGGUAUACUUAACGCGUUUGCUACGACACAAUCAGGGUUGAAUCCAAUUACAUCUAGUAUACAUAGUUUACGGCAAGGACUAC